rnacentral:misc_RNA from 1 species
CCUCGUGAACGCUAGCUCGUUUCAAAUCGAUUAGCAUCUCAAUUUCGAAACUUGGAUUGACUCAGCGUAAUAGACUAUUCGCUGAGGACACCUCUCGUCAGGUGUCCAUGUUAGAUAACGACCGAUGCUCCUAGCACUCUAUCUAGUCAUUCUUUUAAGAUUUAGACCUCAGAUCAGGCAGGAUUACCCGCUGAACUUAA